GAUCAUGGCUCAGGAUGAACGCUAGCUACAGGCUUAACACAUGCAAGUCGAGGGGCAGCAUGGUCUUAGCUUGCUAAUGCCGAUGGCGACCGGCGCACGGGUGAGUAACACGUAUCCAACCCGCCGUCUACUCUUGGACAGCCUUCUGAAAGGAAGAUUAAUACAAGAUGGCAUCAUGAGUUUCACAUGUUCACAUGAUUAAAGGUAUUCCGGUAGACGAUGGGG
rnacentral:rRNA from 1 species